CCAAGCUGCACGAGGUUAUUUGUUCACCACUGCGGUGUUGCUAAUGGCAACAACAACGAAAAACAGCUAAUGGCAACAACAACAACGAAAUAAUACCAGUUUAAUUUGAGGCUAGUGAUAAAACAAUAUGAAUAUAAAGAAACUGUCUUAAAAACUAAACCACAAAUGUUUUCGAAUACCGACAUUCAUGCGCUAAAAAAAGGAAAUGAAAAUACCGGAGAAUAUUUGAACAGCGAACCAGAUCAUUUCAACAUUUUAUGACCAGAAAUGAUUAGGAAACGAAACGCACAGCUUCUCAAGGAAAUUGAAAUGAAUCGCGCAAGAAUUCGUUCUCUAUCAUUAUACAGUCCUUUAGAAUCGGUUCUUCAAAAUGCAAUUUCAAAUUAUGUUAAACGUAAGAUAGUAAAAAGCGACGUUGAGUCAGUGUCGAGCUAUGGUAAAAAAACUGAACAAAAUCUGCUUUGUAGAGACACAUCGCGGCAAAACCCUGAUCGAGAGUGAUGAUUUUUUAUUUGCUAAAAUGUGUUGAAUAAAUUUCUUCUUGAACCUCUACAAUGACUAAAAUUAUGCUGAAGGCAGCAAGGCACAGGAAAAAUCCAACGAACAUCCAUCACACUGUAAAAGUCGAGAAAAUAAAAAUACCAAAUAUUUUUUUCAAAAUCCAGCGGGGAUUUCACUCGGCAAUGGUGGUACUCACAUCCAAGUGGAGAACUCAUACGAUAUUUGGAAAAUUGUUGCAUUGUGAAUGAAAAGACUAAU